rnacentral:sRNA from 1 species
GCAUAUCCGCGUUAGGGAUUGCAGUGGAAAGCCCACAGCGACGCAGGAGCGAGGACUUGAAACGUAAAGCCCGACCCCUU